UAAGGAAUAUUGGUCAAUGGAGGGAACUCUGAACCAGCCAUGCCGCGUGCAGGAAGACGGCCCUCUGGGUUGUAAACUGCUUUUAUUCGGGAAUAAACCACAUUACGUGUAGUGUGCUGAAUGUACCGAAGGAAUAAGGAUCGGCUAACUCCGUGCCAGCAGCCGCGGUAAUACGGAGGAUCCAAGCGUUAUCCGGAUUUAUUGGGUUUAAAGGGUGCGUAGGCGGCUUAUUAAGUCAGCGGUGAAAGGUAGCAGCUUAACUGUUUUACAUGCCGUUGAUACUGGUUAGCUUGAGUUGACAGAAGGCAGAUAGAAUUCCUGGUGUAGCGGUGAAAUGCUUAGAUAUGUCACAGAACACCGAUUGCGAAGGCAGCUUACUAUGGUUUAAUUGACGCUGAGGCACGAAAGCGUGGGGAUCAAACA
rnacentral:rRNA from 1 species